UAUAUAAUACAUAUAUAAAUUCAGCAGCCAGGAAGGGCUUGCUGGGAAAAGCGUGGCUGGAGGUUGCGUGUGAUGGAGGCUGUUUACAGCAGCUGGUGGGAGUGAUAAAUCUGGAGAUGCUCAGCGGGUUUUUCUUUCAGCCACAAACUGGCAGCUUCUGCAGCUGAACCGCAGCGAAACCAGGCCAGGUGGGAGCUGCUCUCGGGGACCCAAACCACCCGAAUUUGCGGUCUGCCCGGCCCUGUCUGGUCUGCACGUGGCUGGCUCCAAAAUCCUGGGACCUUUGCUCUCCUCCUCGCACGGGCCCAGCUCUUGAGACUGCUACCGGGGGUAAAAAGCUGAUAAAAGGGGGUUGGUUUGCAGGAGAGAUGGCAGCGGGCAGCGCGUGGGGCAGGGCGGGAGCGAUACGGCACGCUUAGCCGUGGGUUGUAGCUUAUAAAAGAUGCUUAUAAAAGAUGCGGCCAGAUGCUUGACAUGGCUCUGACACUGUUUAGUCUCCUGGUUUGGAGGACUCGGAUUGCUUUGGGAAAUGCAGCUCGGCUGCUUUUCCCCACGGACUGCGUGGCUGGGGUGGCCGCGGAUGUUUCCAUGAUUCAGAGGAACCCACUUCAAAAACCAAGCAGCCCGGCACGUGAAGCCCUCGUGGCUCCCCGGAGCGCUCACACGUCAGGCUGCGGGGCAGGGACCGGGCGGUCACCUCCCUCCCGACCCCCUGUGGGGGCUUUGCCAUCACAGCAGGUUAUAUGGGCAUAGGGGAAAGCCCUUGGUAAUUUUUGGCUUCGAUAAUUUUUUUCGGCUUUGAUGAUUUUUUUCACGGGGUGGCACAUCUCCAGUCCGGGGCACUGCUCUGUGGGUACCGAAUCCCUCCCGCCAGCAUCCGUGGCGCUGGCAGAGCCCUCACGGCCAAAUUUCCCUGCUUGGGGAAAAAAGUGAUUUUGUCUUCACUCAGCACGCAGCAGUCGUACAGGGAGAGGAAGCUGGGAAAACACAACCCUGCGUGCCUCAGCUGGAUGCUCUUAGCGGGGAGGACUUUCUCCGGGGGCGAGCGCCGGGGCGGCGGGGGCUCGCCGUGCGCACGCAGCCCCGGAGCAAACAAACAAGCGGCGGCCUUGGAGGGUUUGCUCUCGUGCCGGGCGGCGGCGGCUGUAUUUUUAGCUCCCUGCCCUCGCAGGGUUCACACAAAUGUCCCCCUUGUGCUUUCAAGCAGCCGGAGAUCCUCUUGCCAAGCCCGCCGGGUGUCCCCGCGGUUCGCUUUCCCAGCGCGGAGCAUCCCCGCCAUGUCCCCCCCGGGGCCGCCGGCUGAGCUGUGCCUCUGCCUCCCGUGUUCCUCCCUCCUGCAUCAGGAGCCGUGGCCAGGUACGGGUGGGACAGGGAGCCCAGAGGAGCAAAAGCCCCCAAUAAGCCAAAAGGCAGCACUUCUGGAGGUGCUGGGGGGGACCUCGACCGCUGCGGGGCUGCACGGAGCCACCAAAAUCCAGGAAAAUGAAAAUAAACAUAAAUAUCAUUCAUACAUUGCAAAAAAAAAAGCUGAAAAUA